rnacentral:rRNA from 1 species
UACGGAGGGGGCUAGCGUUAUUCGGAAUCACUGGGCAUAAAGCGCACGUAGGCGGUGUCGUAAGUCGGGUGUGAAAUCCCUCGGCCUAACCGAGGAACUGCGCCCGAUACUGCGAUGCUUGAGGACCAGAGGGGUGCAUGGAAUUUCCGGUGGAGCGGUGAAAUGCGUUGAUAUCGGAAGGAACUCCGGCGGCGAAAGCGAUGCACUGGCUGGUUUUCUGACGCUGAGGUGCGAAAGCCAGGGGAGCAAACGGG